rnacentral:lncRNA from 1 species
AGAAGGAAUGAAAAAUUUGACGAGGCGACGGCACGGUGGCGGUGCAGACAGAGGAAGAGAUUUUUAGCGCUCUUGUUCAUUGGAGGUUUCAAUCUCAUUGAGGUACAAUCUAUACAGUUAAAAACUCAUUCAGCAGCUUAUAAUUUCUUUCUUUCCCCUUCCACACACACACACACACACACACACACAUACACACACACACACACACACACACACACACAUAUAUAUAUAUAUAUAUAUAUAUAUAUAUAUAUAUAUAUAUAUAUAUAUAUAUAUAUUAUUCUGUUGAUAUUGGCUCCUCAAGCCUACAAACUAAAAGUAAUUAAUUAAUUAAGGACGAGGAGGCGGCCUAGGGAGAGGAAUUCCAUUGAGAAAAGAAUGAAACAAAGUGAGGGCUUGAGAGGGAGAGNNNNNNNNNNNNNNNNNNNNNNNNNNNNNNNNNNNNNNNNNNNNNNNNNNNNNNNNNNNNNNNNNNNNNNNNNNNNNNNNNNNNNNNNNNNNNNNNNNNNUAUUUUUCCAGCUAGAUUUCAAGAGUAUGUGGAUUAUUUUAUAAUGACUUAAAUAAGUUGAAAUUUAAAAUGAAUUAUAAGUCCUUUUAAGUUGUGAUUUAAAAAGAAAAGUGUUUGACAUCAUUUUACUUAAAAGUUAAAAAUUCAGUUAUUUUAACUUGUGAAGGUGUUUGCCUAAAAUGACUCAUAAUUUAAAAUAAUUUUUAAAGAUAACUAAAAUGAGGGCAAAACAAUUUUUACAUUUGAUCAAACUUGUUUAUUUUAAAAUCACUUAUAAGUUAUUUUUUGAGAAGUAAGAAAUUGUUACGCCUCAAAAAUGAUUUAUAAGUCAUUUAUAAGUUAAAAAUAAGUCACAAACGAACACUUGAACAGUAAAAAACUAUUUAUAAGUUGGUUUGACCAACUUAUAAAUAGUAGCCGAAGUUUGGUUAGUGAUUAAUGAGUAGUAGUACUCCAGUAGUUCCGAGUUUUGGAAGUUAAUGAUACCUCAAUAGUAUGUAAAAAUAAUGCUAGAGCUCUCAAUUUUUUUAUAUAAGGUCAAUGCUCUCAAGUCUUAAUGACUUGGAAAAGUUUAGACACCAUAAUACUACAUUCUUUUUAUAUAAGAUUAUGUCACUAUCUCUACUUGCAAUGAGGUUGCGAUAAUGUCUGUGCUGCUGCUUGUGAUCUCUUUAAUGAAACCAAGUUUAUAUUUUCUUUUCUUUUGGUGAUUAGAUGUUAAAAUAGUACUAAUUACGAGUUAAUUUUCAAAAGGAAGGUCCCCUCGUAUUAUUUUUCUCCUUUUUUGGUGUUUGUUUAUUCCUUUUGCUUGCUUCUGCCUAUCAACACAGGCUAGAGAUAUUUGAAUAUGAAACAUGGACAACAAUAUUGGAGAUUCGCAUAAACAAACUAUCUGAAAAAAAAGGGUUUGAGCUUUACUUGAGUGAUAAUCAUGGACUCUCACCAUUAGAAACCAAUAUUAAUAGAAUGAAGCUUGCGGAGUUACAGUCAGAUAAUAAGGAAGGUCCCCUCGUAUUAUUUUUCUCCUUUUUUGGUGUUUGUUUAUUCCUUUUGCUUGCUUCUGCCUAUCAACACAGGCUAGAGAUAUUUGAAUAUGAAACAUGGACAACAAUAUUGGAGAUUCGCAUAAACAAACUAUCUGAAAAAAAAGGGUUUGAGCUUUACUUGAGUGAUAAUCAUGGACUCUCACCAUUAGAAACCAAUAUUAAUAGAAUGAAGCUUGCGGAGUUACAGUCAGAUGUAGAGUCAGAGUCAGAUUCAGAUACAAGUUCUUAAUCCAUUUCUAGUGAUAAUCCUACUAAUAAAAUUUACCCCCUUUUUAUCCUGUGUCUGAGCAGAGAUGUCUGGCCAACACCUCAUAUGCUCUUCCUUUUGUGUCAUCCUCUUUAUUUUUUUGGACGAGUGACUUCAUUUUGAUUGUUUUUAAUGACUAUUUAAUUGGUAAAUAAGUUUUCUAAAUAAAGUACAUUGCUCUAUUUUCCCAGGAUCUCACAAAUGGAUGGGUAGAUUUAUUAUCUUGAAAAUUUUAAUAGUGGCUGAUUUUCUUAAAGAUUGUAUUGCAAUCACGGAUUAAGAAGAGGGAAAGUUCAUAGUAGCAAUGUUCGAAACAGCGCUCGAGGCGUACGCCUCGAGGCGCGCCUCGUAGCGAGGCGGAAGAAAGAGUUCGCGAGGCGGCCGCUUAGUUUGGAAUCGUAGAAGCCUGCGCCUUUUCCAGUCGAAGCUUACUCCUCGUGGCGUUGCGCCUCAAGGCGUCGUGAGGCGUGCGCCUCGAUUUGGCUUUGAAAAAGCCCUAAAUAGCAGAUUCGGAACUUACCGAAGAGGCGAAGACUGCUCCUUUCUCCUCUUCGACUGCUCCUUCGACC